AAAUAAAAAAUUUCAGGGCAUUUUAGAUAAUUUAACUAUUUAAAAAAGUUCUACAACAUGUACUCCAAAGAAGACAACAAUUCUCUCUUAGGAUUCUUUCUCUCCUAAUAUCUCCAAGUGAAAUGUGUGGUUAAGAUGGACUCUUGAACUUUUAUGUUGACAAUCAAGCUGACUUGUUUUACUUUAUUUAUAAUUAAACCAGUUUUUUUUCACUAAAUUUAGGAAUUUUUUACUUCUCAAAUUAGAGUGAGAAUUCUGAGGAAUAGAUAUUUUGGGACUGAAAGUGUGGAGUGAGAAUGGAAGUACAAAAUGGAAGUAUGUUGUGUUAUUUACACUGGAAUGAGAGUAUGAAAUAAAAAUCAUAAUUUUAUUUAUGUGUUUAUUUUGUCUUCGAUCAGGAGUGAAUUGUUUUGAAUUUUUUAAUUACAAAGUUAAUAAAUAACCUUUAUUAGUUUUAAUAAAUAAAUAAAUUAUUAUUAUUAAUAUUCUUAAUGAUAUAAAUUAAAAAAAAAUUAAUUUUUAAGAAUGCAUGGAUUAAAUCGAUGAUUAGCUUAAACUAUAACGAUUGAAAGAGCACUUAUCUUAUUUCAAAACCCAUCAAAAUAUUGUUGCUGUUAAAAAAAAAAAAAACCAAAAACAGAAACAAAGGUGCAGCUAAUUGACCGUCAACGUUGAUUAUAAUCUAUAAACACGUGCUAAUGUUUGAACUUUUUUUGUCGAUGUGCACAUGAAAGUCGGUCUGGCCGUGAUUACUGGGUUUUGACAUUGACUAAUGCGCGUUUGCUUUCACCUUAAGUAAAAUGCUAAAUGUCAAGAAUGUUGCACUCUUAACUCAAAAAUGUUCUCAUAAAAAAAAAAAAACAAAAAAAACUCAAAAAUGUUGCACGUGCGGCGUGUCGGUUUUCUCCUGGACACGCAUGUAAACGCAGACUGUUUUCUCCGGCCCAUUGACGCGUGACUUUGUGACAAACACAAUUCACUCUCAUUUUUCUUGUCAUUUAGCAUAACGGAAAGGACGCAUCUACGCAGACUAUCCUUUCCUUAAAUUUGUCAUUUAGCAUAAGGUCAUUGAUAAGGGUUCCUUGCCUUUUGAUAAUUAAUUUGUCUGUGUUUCAAUUUUCAGAUUAGCCAUCCAUUUACCCCUAUGCGUUAGAAAAAUAUCCCAAGACAUCUUUGUUAUGCAAUAUGUGACACUCUUAUUUUUAUUUUUCUUAUCUUUUAUAAUAAUAUCCUUAUGGUGCGUUCGACCUAAUGAAUUAUAUUGUAUUAUAGUAUAUUAAAUUGUAAUACAAUAUCAUAUUUGGUGUAACUUGAAUUAUGGUGGAUGCAAUA
rnacentral:lncRNA from 1 species